AGGACACAGCUGAGCCUACCAGCCAAAAUUCUGCACGUCUGGGAAAAUGCAUAUAAGAGAGAGGGCAAAAUUUUGCCUGAAAACACCAAAUUCAGAGAGGAAGGAAAAAAGAGGAGAUGCUGCAGCCUGAGGAGAGGAACCGUGUUGACCUGUUGAGGAGAGGAAGUGAGAGUCUGGGUCUGUCAUGGCUGGGUCUGUCGGCCAGCCAAGGUCAGCCCAUCACAGCCAGAAGAGACAGCUUGGCUCUGCUUUGCCAGUGGUCCUUCAGUAUCACAAAACUGUGAUGUUGUACUAGCAGCAGAAACAUCAGAGGUAGAUGUCAAUAGUGAUUGAGCCACUCAUGUCUCUUAUGCUGUGAAUUUCAACUAAACUAAAACUCAACUUCUGGAUUAGGCACAUUACCGCCCACCCCUCCAAAAAAAAUUAAAAAAAAAAUUAACCAAAAAAACAACAGUAAACCCAACAGAUUAGAAGCACAAAUUAUCCCCAAAUGCCAUUUAGACUUAUCUUGUAGAGCAUUAGCAGUGAAAUGCACAGUCAGAACAGGCAUAAAUUGAUUCAUACUGUGUUUUAUUUUCCCCCAGUCAAUAAGGGUUGUAUUCAUUAAAUAAAUAUUACGUUGGCUUUCAGAUAUUUUACAGCAAGCCUGUUUCUUCUGGGUCAGGAUACAAGCUUUAAUUUAAGAUCAAGGAGGAAGAAAAGAAAUUUUAUGUUGAUGGAUCUUUAAAGGAAUGUCUGCCUGAACCCCAUUCAAAAGAAAAUUCAUGGAAUUAAGUGUGUUAUGGAUCAUUUUUGCAUCAUGGGAAAAACUUGGAGUUCCAGUUGGACCCUUACAAACUGUGUGUGCAAGGUUUAAAUCUAAUUUGCAACAUUGAUAUGGAUGAAUAUGUCAAAACAAAAGGACUCUUUCCAUCAUUGGACUUUAAUAUUUUGGAUAACCAAGGCCAAUGAGUGUCUGAAAAGAAUUAAUUCCUGUACAGCAUUCAACACAAUUUUGUCUGUGAAUACCAGUAAUAACAUUCUACUUCAUUUCUCCACUUCUGGGCACAGUUUGACUGGGAUUCUUUUUACCCCUCUUCGAUUUCUACAUUUUAAACCACUGUUUAUAUCAGCAGGUAAAUUUUCUUUUUCUUCUUUCUUCUUUUUCACUGCUCAUUUUUUUUUUUUCUAAAAUGUAUAAUGCUCUAUACUCACUCUAUAAUUUAAAUUGCUGUUUUCCAGCCUGGCUGAAGAAUGUCUGAAAGAGUUUGAAGUUCAAGGGGAUGUUUGUGUGUGUUUUGGCAGAUGUUAAGAAGUUUUUCAAAAAAUGAGUGCUGGUGUCUUACUAGAGGAAACUUCUGUCUUCCAACUGAGAACCUCUUGAGAGCUUAUUUGUUGCUCUACAUGCUCUGUCUGGUAUGGCAGUGAUACCUUUCACAUUUUAGAGAUUUCACUUUACGAGCACUGCUUCUUCUGUGAGCACUGCUUUUCUUCUUCUUUUCUUUUCUUUUUCUUUGAAGGGAAAUAAAAUUUAAGCAAACAUAACA
rnacentral:lncRNA from 1 species